AGACCUAAACAACACGACAUGAAUGAUAACGUAUGUAAUAUGUUUCUAUAGAUAUCUAUAACUAUGAUAGAUAGCUAUGCGUUUCUGAAUAAUUAAAGUAGUACCACGUCUUCAGUGUUUUUGGGUUGCCAGGUUAGUUCUUACCUGACAACAAAGAAGGAGAUACCAAAGUCAGGCAGGGACUGCCAGAUCUGCAGGAAGCGAGUGAUGCCGUCGGUCAGCGAGAGCUGGGCUACGUUCUGAUAGGCCUCCAAGAUACGUGGGGUCAACUGGGCAGGACCAGAAAAGGCGUGGAGACACCAGGCUGUGUGUGUUGAUGCUCUCGUCAGCUUGCGUAUUGUUGCCAUUGGGGUUGGUCUGUUGCAUGGCCAGGAAGGUGCGGAUGCUCUGCAUCUCGCUCUGGUAGGAGCUGUCUGCCAGACUCGUCCCUUUGGAGGCCAGACGGCAGGCCGCCAUCCACUUGGAAUACUGCUCUUCCUGAUGGACACAGUGGAGAGAAGAUUUGGAGAGAAAGAUGUUGAAAGAGAGGCCUCAAGGGAUUGCAGAAAGACCUUUCAGAUCAAAUAUGGCUGACCAGCAUGUCAUUGGCACUGCUGUCUCCAUCCAUCUUGACCUCCAGACACUGCAGAGCUGAGUCCAGGUCAUCCAUGGCCGGGCUAGACGUUUGCCCUUGGGGUUCCGACAGAGACAGCUUGUUGAUGUGGUACUGUGUGUGUGUGUGCGUGUGCAUAUAAAUGUAAAUGCGCAUGUGUGUAUGAGUGUGUGUUUAUGUGUAUGUGGUGUGUGGUGAGGAUUAAAGAUAAGGAAACACAAAUGAGGGAAGUGGCAUUGCAGUAGUCAUAUCAGCACUGUAAUGUAUCCUGAUUCACGUGCACUCGUGUCCAGUUGGGAUUUGAGCCCAUGUACACCUGUAGGCCAGUGUACCUGCAGUGCUCCAAAUAGCAUCAUCUCCUCCUCGGUGCAGUCUAUGUCCUCCAGCAGGAUUGCCCAGCGAGCCUGCUCAUAGAGCUGCGUCAAACGCACCACGUCAUACUGAGGGGAAGGGAGGGGAGAGACAGAUUUGAAAUAACAAAUCAACCAGAAAGUUAUUUUUCAUACACUUAUUCACCCUUACACAUUGACCUUUGAUUCACUUUGCAGAUGCUUUUAUCCAAAGCGACGUACAACUAGAGCAUUAUGGAAAGUACAACAGAAGAUUAAGGA